GCAUUUUCUUAGUUUUUCUUGUAUGGCUAAUUUCUGACUAUUUCAGGAAUUUAUUUCUUGUCUUGUUGCAUCCAAAUGAGGCACAAGAAUCCAACAUGAUGACUCUACUCAUGUAUAUAUUUGCAGGAUAACAUCGCUCUAGCCGUUGGUGCUAAUGAAGAGAUUCAUUUAAUGAAAGACCAACAAUAAGCUGAUAUAAUCUUGUGCAGUGGCUCGAACACAGAUCCACGGAGAGAGUUGAUUUGUGGGAAAGAGGUGGGUGAUGGAUGAUGGAGCAAGUUGCCGGAGAGGUGGCGGAGAAUUGAUAGAGGAACAAGGAACAUCUGAUUUCGAUGUGUGAGCACCGGAGGUGGAUGUAUAUUGCGGUGCACAUUCGUAGGAGGAUGCCCACGUUCUGGCAUUAUUUUUGUACUAGGAUCUUGGAAUUGAGUGUGUAAUCCGAUUUCAGUGUGUAUGGUGGUUUUCAUUUCAAAUCAAUUUCAGCUCAGAAUUUUCUUUGAUAAUUGA